GCAGGUAGGGCGGAGGCGUGCCGCGAGGCCACGGAUGCACACAUUUAGAAGCCAGUGUGCACGGUGUCUCUCCCCACUUCCCUUUUCUGAAAACUCACCAGUGAUCUCAGAGGAAAGCCAGGUGGCAGGAAGGGCUGCGGCCCCCAGCCCAGCCUCCAGGUCACCCCUGGCUGUCCCUGGCUGCCUUCCUGUCUGCACUUCCUCUUCCUGCCCCUGUCCCCUCUCUUGACUUUCACUGUGGCCUUUGCAUCCUGGUAGAGCCACUCCGUAGCCCCACUACCAGGGAACAGAAGGCCGAGCCCAGGCCAACCAGCAUCAGUCAGAUUGAACAUUUCCAAGUUGGCUGCCUUUCCCGUUAUGACACUGCUGACACGGCUGGGGAUUCAAGCCUGAGAAACUGUCACUGCUAGCCACCCAGAGUGCCUGUCAUCCAGGCGUCUACCCAGGAAUGGAAACCAUGACCCUUGACCCUUGCCAACUGCAGGAGAGAAGAGGGAAACAAGGCAGCGUCAGAGGACUGAGAAGGAAAGCACGCAUGGCUGUGACCACCAGCAGGACAGUAGCAGGUCUUGAAGUACAGGAUGAAGAAGGGAUAGCUCAGUCUGACACACAGCAGUUUCUAGUUGCAGGCUUCUGAGUUCAUGUCCUCCCCUUCCGAAAAUCAGAGAAUUCACCAUCCGAAUCUUGGAAGCUGGAAAGCAGAUGGUGAGUGAGACUAUGCGUGUAAGAAAACUAGACUUGGGCCAGUGAGCUGGCUCAGGCGGUAAAGGGCGCUUGCAUGCAAGCCUGGCGACCAGAGUUCGAUCCCUAGAACCCAGACAAUGGAAGGAGUUGUCCUGACCUUCCUAUGUGUGGUGGGACAUGUAUGUAUGCACGAGUGCCACACACACUAGUGUAUUGCACACUCAUUCACACACUGAUACACGUCUGAAAGCUAGACUUGAGGCUGGCAGGGAGGCCGAGAGCCCAGUUUGUCCAAAGACUCCUCAAAAGGCUCAGAAAAGGAUACCAGGAAUCAGAGAGGGAAGACUGAAAUAAAGAUGAGUUGAAGGUGUCUGGAGAAGCAGGUCCAGAGCUCUCGCCAGCCCAGGUCCAGGGACAACUGUCUGCUUCCCACCAGGUAUCAAGCACAUCUGAGAGAUCAAGUGGGUGUGUGUUCUGAGUGGGGCCCUCCAGCCGGCCAUCUUCCCAGUGAGCUUCCAGAUGGCAGGCAGCUAACACAUGCCCUCUGAGGAAGAUUCUCUGGAGAUCCUGAGGAGCGCAUCACCAAGGUAGCAGCCUCUGGAGGCGCCUAGCAGCCACUCAGACCCACCAUGCCAACGUGUUGCUGUUGUUUCCUGCAGGAUUACAGAUGGAACCCAGGGUUUUACCUGGGCUAGGCAAGCCCUCUGUCAGCCCUCAGUGUCCUUAAAUAAAGGUCACAAGGAGAAAAAUCUCUAACACAAAUGCUAGAGAUCAAACAUAAAACCCAAAAUGUUAUCAGUGUCCUCUGAGAAGUAAGAGUUUACAUAAAGCAUAAACAGCAAGAUUUUCUUUUUUUUUUUCUUUCU